rnacentral:piRNA from 1 species
UAGAAGGACUGGUGGUCGCGUCAUUC